CGGACGGGUGAGUAACACGUGGAUAACCUACCUAUAAGACUGGGAUAACUUCGGGAAACCGGAGCUAAUACCGGAUAAUAUGUUGAACCGCAUGGUUCAAUAGUGAAAGACGGUUUUGCUGUCACUUAUAGAUGGAUCCGCGCCGCAUUAGCUAGCUGGUAAGGUAACGGCUUACCAAGGCGACGAUGCGUAGCCGACCUGAGAGGGUGAUCGGCCACACUGGAACUGAGACACGGUCCAG
rnacentral:rRNA from 1 species